UGCAGGCGCACUCUGUGUCACAUUGAAUUAUGUCCACAUGUGAUGACAAUUUGUUAACCUUGCUAAAGUAAAUUGAAGUUGCGACUUAUCCAUGUGAUCGUGAUUUAAAGCUGAUUACAUUGAAUGCGCACUUUACAUUGC